UCCUCGUUAGCUCAGUCGGUAGGGUGCUCCACUGGGAAUGAAGAGGUCCCUGGUUCGACACCAGGUCCAGGCA
rnacentral:tRNA from 2 species